rnacentral:rRNA from 1 species
AUUGAACGCUGGCGGCAUGCCUUACACAUGCAAGUCGAACGGUAACGGGCCUUCGGGUGCCGACGAGUGGCGAACGGGUGAGUAAUGUAUCGGAACGUACCUUUCAGUGGGGGAUAACGUAGCGAAAGUUACGCUAAUACCGCAUAUUCUGUGAGCAGGAAAGCAGGGGAUCGCAAGACCUUGUGCUGAUUGAGCGGCCGAUAUCAGAUUAGCUAGUUGGUGAGGUAAAGGCUCACCAAGGCGACGAUCUGUAGCGGGUCUGAGAGGAUGAUCCGCCACACUGGAACUGAGACACGGUCCAGACUCCUACGGGAGGCAGCAGUGGGGAAUUUUGGACAAUGGGGGCAACCCUGAUCCAGCCAUGCCGCGUGAGUGAAGAAGGCCUUCGGGUUGUAAAGCUCUUUCGGCCGGGAAGAAAUCGUAUGGGUUAAUACCCUGUGCGGAUGACGGUACCGGCAUAAGAAGCACCGGCUAACUACGUGCCAGCCGCCGCGGUAAGAC